UACGUAGGGUGCGAGCGUUAAUCGGAAUUACUGGGCGUAAAGCGUGCGCAGGCGGUGAUGUAAGACAGAUGUGAAAUCCCCGGGCUUAACCUGGGAACUGCAUUUGUGACUGCAUAGCUAGAGUACGGUAGAGGGGGAUGGAAUUCCGCGUGUAGCAGUGAAAUGCGUAGAUAUGCGGAGGAACACCGAUGGCGAAGGCAAUCCCCUGGACCUGUACUGACGCUCAUGCACGAAAGCGUGGGGAGCAAACAGG
rnacentral:rRNA from 1 species